UACUGGCUUCAGCAGCAAUAUACUAAAAUUGGAACUAUACAGAGAACAGUAGCAUAGCCCUGCACAGGGAUGACAUGCAAAUUGGUGAAGCAUUAUAUAUUAAA